UACGGGGGGGGCAAGCGUUGUUCGGAAUUACUGGGCGUAAAGGGCGCGUAGGCGGCCUGCUAAGUCGGACGUGAAAUCCCUCGGCUCAACCGAGGAACUGCGUCCGAUACUGGUGGGCUUGAAUCCGGGAGAGGGAUGUGGAAUUCCAGGUGUAGCGGUGAAAUGCGUAGAUAUCUGGAGGAACACCAGUGGCUAAGGCGACUUCCUGGCCUGUUCUUGACGCUGAGGCGCGAAAGCUAGGGGAGCAAACGGG
rnacentral:rRNA from 1 species